UACUGAGCAGCUGACUGUAUACAUAAACCCGAUGUUUAGCUGCAGUAUGUCAGAGGAGCGAGGAAAGAACUCUCCAUCUGAGAUGGGUCUCUCUGAGAAACAGAGCCCUGUGUCUGGUGGCAUGCCGAACUCCAGUGAGAAAAAAUCAUCAUCUACCAAAAGUGUCAGAUCAGGCUCACUUGUAUCCAGCUCUGUGUCUGUGAAGAGUGACCAGUCAAAACCUGAACCACCGAACUUCUGUGACAA